rnacentral:rRNA from 1 species
AUUGAACGCUGGCGGCAGGCUUAACACAUGCAAGUCGAGCGGAGAUGAGGUGCUUGCACCUUAUCUUAGCGGCGGACGGGUGAGUAAUGCUUAGGAAUCUGCCUAUUAGUGGGGGACAACAUUCCGAAAGGAAUGCUAAUACCGCAUACGCCCUACGGGGGAGAGCAGGGGAUCUUCGGACCUUGCGCUAAAUGAUGAGCCUAAGUCGGAUUAGCGAGUUGGUGGGGCAAAGGCCUACCAAGGCGACGAUCUGUAGCGGGUCUGAGAGGAUGAUCCGCCACACUGGGACGGAGGCACGGCCCAGACUCCUACGGGAGGCAGCAGUGGGGAAUAUUGUACGAUGGGCGGAAGCCUGAUCCAGCCAUGCCGCGUGUGUGAAGAAGGCCUUUUGGUUGUAAAGCACUUUAAGCGAGGAGGAGGCUACUAGUACUAAUACUACUGGAUAGUGGACGUUACUCGCAGAAUAAGCACCGGCUAACUCUGUGCCAGCCGCCGCGGUAAGAC